GUAAUAUAAGAAAAGAUUUCAAAGGAGACACACAGACAUGUUGUCUCAUACCUUUUCUGCUGCUCAUUAUUUAAAGUCUGAGAGAGAGAGAUGUGGGGGAAAAAAGAGCUCUUCACAGGUCCCACAGGGCUGCAAAGACAUCAGCUCGUGAAUAUUUCACAAGCGUAUCUCUGUCCUGUAACAUCGCUGCAUAGUCACCUGCAGUUCAAAGAUUCUGUAUCUGUGCAUUGAUUGGACCUACCAUCACUAUAACUAUAGAAGCAAGUCUUGAAUAUGCAGCCUGGUUGCAUCCCCUACCAAGAUUCUUGAUUUGAAAUAGUUUUAAUAGGAUUGUUCACAAUGCUAUUUGGGCCCUGCUCUCUUGGAUUACUUCUAGCUGCGGUGUCUCAAAACUUUUUGGGCAGCCUUUCUGUUUCUGGUCACAGGGCUAUUUCUCCUCCUUUCCCCUCCCUGGCUAAAGAAACAAAACUUUCCCCCUUCUCCGGUUGUGAUUUCAUUGAACUAGUGACCAGUAGCUAUCCUAACUGGCUAUGAUCGUGAAGCUACUUAUCAAUGAUGUGGCUUUUUGUAGUUGUCCUACUAAAAGAGCAAGGAAAGAAACAUGGAUAGCAUAUGGGAAAUGUACAAUAAUGAGUUAAAAUGUGAAUGGCAAAUUGCUUUUCUCCAUCUUAACUCACAAACAAAACAAAACAGUAGCAACAUGCAUCCUAUUACUUUGUCAUUGUGUGAUAAUGUGUCAUUAAAGAGUCAUGUGUUUCUUGUUAGCUGAUCCUGUAGUAAAAAUUUUUGGGAUUAGCAGUCUUGAAUUGUUGUUCUUAGCAAAUAAAAGUCAUUUUGCUGC